UACAGAGGGUGCAAGCGUUAAUCGGAAUUACUGGGCGUAAAGCGCGCGUAGGUGGUUUGUUAAGUUGGAUGUGAAAUCCCCGGGCUCAACCUGGGAACUGCACCCAAACUGGCAAGCUAGAGUAUGGUAGAGGGUGGUGGAAUUUCCUGUGUAGCGGUGAAAUGCGUAGAUAUAGGAAGGAACACCAGUGGCGAAGGCGACCACCUGGACUGAUACUGACACUGAGGUGCGAAAGCGUGGGGAGCAAACAGG
rnacentral:rRNA from 1 species